AGCAGCCGCGGUAACUCCAGCUCCAAUAGCGUAUAUUAAAGUUGUUGCAGUUAAAAAGCUCGUAGUUGAAUUUUGGAUUCUGCCAAUUGGUCCAUCUUUUAGAUGAGUACUGGUUGUGUGGGGUCUAUCCGCCUGGUGAUACGUAAUGUCCUUUAUUGGAUGUUGCGGGUAGUCAGGACCUUUACCUUGAAAAAAUUAGAGUGUUUAAAGCAGGCUUAUGCCGGGAUACAUUAGCAUGGAAUAAUAGAAUAGGACGAAGUUGUUUUAUUUUGUUGGUUUCUAGGACAACCGUAAUGAUUAAUAGGGAUAGUUGGGGGCAUUAGUAUUCAAUUGUCAGAGGUGAAAUUCUUGGAUUUAUUGAAGACUAACUACUGCGAAAGCAUUUGCCAAGGAUGUUUUCAUUAAUCAAGAACGAAAGUUAGGGGAUCGAAGACGAUCAGAUACCGUCGUAGUCUUAACCAUAAACUAUGCCGACUAGGGAUCGGGCGAUGUUGUUUCCAUGACUCGCUCGGCACCUUAU
rnacentral:rRNA from 1 species